rnacentral:rRNA from 1 species
GAUGAACGCUGGCGGCGUGCCUAAUACAUGCAAGUCGAGCGAACAGACGAGGAGCUUGCUCCUCUGACGUUAGCGGCGGACGGGUGAGUAACACGUGGAUAACCUACCUAUAAUACUGGGAUAACUUCGGGAAACCGGAGCUAAUACCGGAUAAUAUAUUGAACCGCAUGGUUCAAUAGUGAAAGACGGUUUUGCUGUCACUUAUAGAUGGAUCCGCGCCGCAUUAGCGAGUUGGUAAGGUCACGGCCCACCAAGGCGACGAUGCGUAGCCGGUCUGAGAGGGUGAUCGCCCACACUGGAACUGAGACACGGUCCAGACUCCUACGGGAGGCAGCAGUGGGGAAUAUUGGACAAUGGGCGCAAGCCUGAUCCAGCCAUACCGCGUGGGUGAAGAAGGCCUUCGGGUUGUAAAGCCCUUUUGUUGGGAAAGAAAAGCAGCAGGUUAAUACCCCGCUGUUCUGACGGUACCCAAAGAAUAAGCACCGGCUAACUUCGUG